AAUUAUCAAAAUCUUGGAUUAAUUAGUAUGAUACUAUAGCCUAAUAGUGGCCUUUGAUAGUUUGAUGUAUACACUUGUCUGGAAUUGCACGUUCCUUACUGAAUAUCUAGCCUAUUUAGGCCUAGUUUGGUUAAAUUGGCAUAAACUCUCACGUCUAAAAUGUUUGAUUUUGGGUUUAAGACCCAGCAUGCAUUGUCAAUUUGAAUUUUCAUAUGAAGAUCCAUAGCAUAUGCCUCCUAAGCUCACCCAACCUUAUGGAUUCAGAUUGGUUUGUUCUCAAAAUGUGCCG
rnacentral:misc_RNA from 1 species